GGCUAGCUUUAAAUAUUUGCAUUUAUAUCGCACACUCGCAGUGUAAUUAAUUAACCUUACGACUCUACUUAUCUCGUUCGAAGCCUAUCCACUCGCAUAUGGACAAUUUCGGCUCCCUGGUGAUGUAAUGUGUUUAUUGAUAUUUCGCUUGUUUUGGUUUUUUGGUAGCAAAACUACCGAAAAUCAAGACAAUGUUUCCCUUUUCACGAAACUGGUUACAGUGUUUCGCGAGGCAAAAUUCCAGGCCGCUAAACAACCGCAGAUUGCUGGAAUCGGUUGAGUGCGAUGGUUGUCCUACUCCUACCUAUUUUGUAUUCCUCGAUGUCAUUGCAGCCAAUUAACUGCGGAUCAGCGAUUUUGCGGACAAAAACAAAGGGGGGAAAUGCGUGAACUGGCUGCACAGCGGAAUUCUAUCAACUUAAAGUCUAGAUUUACCACUCACAUACUAGUACAUGGAUGGACGGCCGUCGGAGUUUUCCAAUUUUCCACGCACAAGCAACCGAUGGGAAAGCUUUUCUUUGGAGUUUUUCACUCGCUCUUUUCGCCACGAGCGUUGGCACUUUUCAGUUUCGGUUUCAGUUUUUGCUCGCCGUGCGGCGCAGUCGACGAGGCAGCGACGUCGACGCUAGAAAACACGAAGCGCUCGAUUUGAUUCACCGGCCGAGCUUCAGCUUCGUUUGGCUGAUAAAUACCUGUGCGCCAGGUGAUAAUGGCCCAUUGUGAUAAUAAAACAGCGCCAUAAACCA